ensembl:lncRNA
CUGCGUUGCAGGACAUGUUACCCCACUGGAACCUUAAUCCAGCUAAUACUAACAAGUCCUUGAGAAUAAAUGUGGGGACGAGAAAAGGAAAGACUGGGCUCAGUGAGUGGAUCUGCACUGCUUCCAUUGGAUCUCCUUCACAGAGCUACACCCGCGGUGCCUCCUGCUCAACCCCUACAACUCAGCACUGACACAGCUGAGGCUCAGCCCGGCAGAGCUUGCCCAUCCAUGCCGAAAUCUGAAGUUCCCAGCAUGGACAUACGUGGUGAUUUUCCGCUCCGCCGUCUGCAGCAGCUUCCAUCACCUUAAGUGCAAAGAUCUGCCUGAAUGUGAACUACUGGAUCAGGAUUUACUGCCAUGCACGGGAGCAGCAGUGGGAAGAACUUCUGGACACCACAAAGGGAAAAUGCUCAGAAAAUGCUCAGGGAUAGAGUUUUUUCCCCCGGUUUGGUUGGGGGAAGGAGAACUGCAUUUCCAACCACAUUUCCAAACCCAAAGAGCCAUUGGAGAGAACUGCAGAGGUUUGGGUCCCCCCAUGCAGUGUCGGGUGUCCCUGGGCUGCAGUGAGGGGUUGGAGUGCAGGGCCCACGCGGGUGCCCCGGGCACAGAGGGGCUGUGCUGGGGCAGGCGGCAUCUGGGAAGCAGCAAUCUGG